rnacentral:lncRNA from 1 species
GGCAUCGGCCUGGAUGCCUGUGCAGGCUGUGGAAGGUUGGUUUUUUCCUUCUUCACAGUAAAUCUUAACACUGUUCAGUGUUUGGGUCUGCACUACCUUUAUGAGCUGUGAUACUCACUGUGGAGGUCUGCAGCUUCACUCCUGAAGUUAGCCAGACCAUGAACCCACCGGGAGGAACUAACAACUCCAGACGUGCCACCUCUAAGAGCCUUAACACUUAUUGGGAAGGUCUGCGGCUUCACUCCUAAAGUCAGGAAGACCAUGAACUCACCAGAAGGAAGAAAUUCUGGACACAUCUGAAGGAACAAAUUCCGGACACACCAUUUUUUUUUUUUUUUUUGAGGCGGAGUCUCACUCUGUCACCCAGGCUGUGGUGCAGUGGCGUGAUCUCAGAUCACUGCAACCUCUGCCUCUGGGACUCAAGCAAUUCUCCUGCUUCAGCCUCCUGAGUAGCUGGAAUUACAGGCAUGUACCACCAUGCCCGGCUAAUUUUUUUGUAUUUUUAGUAGAGACAGGGUUUCACCAUAUUGGCCAGGCUGGUCUCGAACUUCUGACCUUGUGAUCACCCACCUCGACCUCCCAAAGUGCUGGGAUUACAGGCAUGAGCCACCGCGCCCGGCCGUGGACACACCAUCUUUAAGUACUGUAACACCGCGAGGGUCCACGGCUUCAUUCUUGAAGUAAGCAAGAACCCACUGGAAGGAACAAAUUCCGGACACGCUUUCAUGUCAUAUUAGUUUCCUAGGGUAAUUGUAACAGUGUACCACAGGCAGUGGUUUAACAAGGGAAAUGUAUUGUCUUGAAGUUCUGAAGAUCAGAAGUCUGUGACUAAGGUGUAGGCAGGGUUGGUUCCUUCUGAGGCUGUGAGGAAGAGUCGUUUGCAUGCCUCUUCCCCUAGCUUCUGGUGGUUUUUUUUUUUUUUUUUUUGAGACAGUCUCACUCUGUCACCCAGACUGGAGUGCAGUGGUGCGAUCUCAGCUCACUGCAACCUGUACCUCCCCGGUUCAAGCUAGUCUCCUGCCUCAGCCUCCGGAGUAGCUGGGAUUACAGGCUCCCACCACCACGCCGGGCUGAUUUUUGUAUUUUUAGUAGGGAUGGGUUAUCACCAUGUUGGCCAGCCUGGUCUCGAACUUCUGAGCUCAGGUGAUCUGCCUGCCUUGGCCUCCCAAAGUGCUGGGAUUACAGGCCCGAGCAACUGUGCCUGGCUGCCUCUGGUGGUUUGCUAUCUUUGGUGUUCCUUGAUUUGUAGAAGCGUCACCCCUAUCUCCGCCUUCCUCUUUACAAAGCAUUAUCUCUGUGAGCAGUGUUUAUGUCUGAAUUUCCACUUUUGAUAAGGACCCCAGUUAUGUCGGAGUAGGUGCCCACCCUACUCCAGUAUGACCUCAUCUUAACUAACCACAUUUGCAGUUUCCAAAUAUUUCCAAAGAAGGUCACAUUCUGAGGUCACUGGGAGUUUGGAUUUCAACAUACGAAUUUCAGGGGGAGGGUGGCAGGGAUACGGUUUAACCCAAAACAUCUGUGAAUACAUUUUUCUUAGCAGAUAACUGUAAUGCAUUGUCCAAAUGAAAGACCUACACUCUGUGGACCUCAGAUGACGCGUUACGUAGGAAAGGUAAUUGUGACUACUCUCAUUCCCACAACAGUGGGUGUCUAGGAGCCCAAGAACUGACCUGUCUUAUUGAAUAGGCUGAGAGGAAAGCACGUCCAACUUUACUUCUGCCCAGAAAAGUACCUGGAAGCAGGAGUGUCCCCUCCCGCUACCACCAAUGCCAGUGGAGUAGAGUGCUUUGUUUCACUCAACUGUCACACUUCCGUGUAAGCUGCACUUUAUUACCAGCAUGGCAGUGGUUACCCAAGUGGUUCCAUCCCCAUUGCUCUGAUCACAUGGCUUCCACCGCCCACCCUCCCAGUACCUGGGCAGUUGUCAUUGCAGGUUCUCAUAUCUAGCUUGAUGGUAUUCUUCCUCUGCUUCAGUGGCAUCCUGGCCCAUGAAUGCCUCCAGCCCUCCUUUUCCAAGGUCCUGCCUUGUUCUCCGAAGAUUAAAAAAAGGGGCAAAAAUGAUGUUUUAGCUCAGGCCUCCAUAAUGCCUCCAGACAAUGGGUGCUUUUAAGUACGUAUUCAGCAGUUCCUCUUAUCUUAGAUCCUAUUAGAUCUGAAAUGCUCCCAUAAACAUAGUGUCAAAGCUCUACAAAAUGCAUUUCUAAUUCCUAGAAUGAAAUUAACUGAAAUCCAACUUUUGGAGCAGCGCGUUCCUGUAGCCAAUGAACUAGCCACAGAAAUGUUCCAGCAGUGACUGCCCACGAAUGUUGUCAGCAUCUUACAAUGUAUUUAACAAAACCCAGUAGACGGCAUACGCAGAAGCUUUCAGGGUCAUGGGAGCAUGGGCUGAGAGGGGCCUUUAAAAGAGAAGAAGACUAGGUGCCUUCUUGAAUGUGUAAUAUGAGAAAGAAAAUCCAGUGAGAUGAUUAGGUGAAGGUUAGUUUCAUGUCUCAACUUGGCUAGGCUAUGGUGCCCAAUAGUUUAUCAAACACUAGUCUAGAUGUUACUGUGAAGGUAUUUUGUAGAUGUAAUUAACAUUCACAGUCAGUUCACUUUAAGUAAAGUCAAUAAUAUCUCAUCAAAUCAGUUGAAGGCCUUGAGAGCAAAAACUGAGGUUUCCUGGAAGAGGAAGAAUUCUGCUUCAGGACUAACACAGAAAUUGUGCCUCAGUUUCCAACAUGCAGGCCCACCCUGUGCAUUUUGAACUUGCCUGCUCCCACAAUCAUGUGAACCAAUUUUUUAAGAUAACCUCCCUUCUCUAGGUAGAUUGAUUGACAUAAGCAAUGCUUUAAAUAUAUAUGAAACAGAUAUAUAUAUGUGUGUUGGU